GAUGAACGCUGGCGGCGUGCCCAAUACAUGCAAGUCGAGCGAACGGACGAGAAGCUUGCCUCUCUGAUGUUUGCGGCGGACGGGUGAGUAACACGUGGAUAACCUACCUAUAAGACUGGGAUAACUUCGGGAAACCGUAGCUAAUACCGGAUAAUAUUUUGAACCGCAUGGUUCAAAAGUGAAAGACGGUCUUGCUGGCACUUAUAGAUGGAUCCGCGCUGCAUUAGCUAGUUGGUAAGGUAACGGCUUACCAAGGCAACGAUGCAUAGCCGACCUGAGAGGGUGAUCGGCCACACUGGAACUGAGACACGGUCCAGACUCCUACGGGAGGCAGCAGUAGGGAAUCUUCCGCAAUGGGCGAAAGCCUGACGGAGCAACGCCGCGUGAGUGAUGAAGGUCUUCGGAUCGUAAAACUCUGUUAUUAGGGAAGAACAUAUGUGUAAGUAACUGUGCACAUCUUGACGGUACCUAAUCAGAAAGCCACGGCUAACUACGUG
rnacentral:rRNA from 1 species